rnacentral:lncRNA from 1 species
GAGUUACAGCAGGACAUUCACAUGGACAACUGUUGGCAUUUGAUGUGUUGUGGUUUUUAUCUGUAUGUACCCCUAAAGCCUCACGCUCAUAGGUGGGGCUUUGGGGGAGGUGAUUGGAUCAUUGGGGUGUGAUGCUUAUCAGUGGAUUAGUCCCCUGAUGAGUUAAUAGCUAAAUGUGAUGUUAGGAGGUUAAGCCUGGUCAAAGGAGGUGUGUCACUGGGGCCGGCCUGGAAGGGUUUAUCACCCUCCUCCUCCCUUGAUCUCUCUCUCUCUGCUUCCUGCCUACCCUGGUAGGAGCUGUUUCUCGUCUUCCAUGCCUUUCUGCCAUGCUGCCCUGCCUUGGAGCCAGACGACUAUGAACUUAAGCCUCUACAAACUCUUCCUGUCUCACAGUGGAAUCUCCUGUUCCUGCACACUAUUGCUAUUGUGAUGCCAUCCAUCCUGUGGGCCUUGCCAGGGCAAGCUGAAGACAGUGCCAUGACCUUGAAACUCCAGAUUAAAGUUCAGUUUUUUCAAAGCCUGCUGAGUUUGAUCAUAAGAACCAUUUACAAAGUGGAAAGUAAUUUAAUG